rnacentral:lncRNA from 1 species
AUAUUUCUCAAAUCAUUUGGAAUCUAAAAAAAUGUCUAACAUGAAAGUUGUUGGGAUUAUUUCUCUCUUCCAUAAUACAAUUUUUGUUUAUUUUUAUGACCAAUAGAAAAUUAAAAUAACAUUUUUCUCUUUUUAUGUAUUAUUUUUAAUGUAUUUAAAUCAUAGUAAUUUCAGAUUACAUGAUAAAAAUCCCAAAAAAUUUGUGAA